AGUGUGCAGAGGGACAGUUGUCAAAAGAAUAACUGCUGGCCGGCCAGUGAGCUCUCGAGCGUGUAGGUGGUGCACAGCGUGAGGGGCAGGUCUUUUGCUAACGCCACAGGGGUCUCUGGCCCAAUGAGUGGAGUUCAACAGUAAUCCUUGCUACAAGU
rnacentral:snoRNA from 1 species